rnacentral:lncRNA from 1 species
GGGUGUCGAUCGUAGUGGUACAGUCCAGACAAACACGUGAGGAAGCAUUUGGGUGAUUUUGAGCGGCGGCUUCGUGAAAUGAUAAACAAACUUGUGGAUUUAGGAACCGCCCAUCUAUUCAUGCGGAUGCAGGAGAAAAACAGCAGCUCUGGGAUGGUGUGGACGGUGGACUCUCUGCUCCGUUCAGCUCGCUCUUCGUCUCCAGCCUGCUGUCGGUCCCUCUGCCUCUCGUCCUCUUCUUCCUCUCCCUGCCUCUGGGCCUCCAUCUCCCCGCCGUCUGCGCCUGAGGAAGCAGGUGAGGAGAACAUCAGAGACUCCUCUCUCUUCAGCAGGUCUGGAGUCGGGCCAAAGAGGUGCUGCCGAAACCUUUCCGGGAGGAUCUGGAGGAGUCCAGCUGCUCGGGUUUUAGCUCCUGGACCUCAGCGGCUUUCAGCUCCUCCUCCAGCUGCUCCGUUUCCAUGGCAACAUCCUCAUCCUCCUGAUCGUCACUGGGAUUCUUCUGCGGCCCCAUGGCUUUCUGCUGCUCCAGACUGGCAACAUCUGCAGCAGGAGGAGCAUUCCCUCAUCAGGAGGACGUCUCUACAGAGAUCUUUACAGCAGGUUGAUGCAGACCGUAAGUCUGAGCGUCGUAGUCCAUCUCGCCCUCUCGGACAUGCUCGUGCAGGUCCGACUCCUGCCGCCCGUCGCUCGCCUCGUUCUUCUGGGAGCGCUCCUCGCUGCUGGCCACCAUCCGCAGCCGCUUGUUGAUGCGCUCGUUGUAGUCGCCGGUGGAGCGCUCCUCCUCCGCUCGGCCCGGCUUCCUCUUGAAGCUCUGCAGGGAGAGACUCCGGCUGAAUCAAACGGACGACGAUCAGAGGAGGAGGCGGAGCAUGAGCACUGACCUGGGUCUUCCUCUGCGUCUGCGACUGAGAGGCCAUCCUGGCUGUCAGCCGGGACUCGUGACCCUCUGAUUGGCUGGCGUCCGCCGCUCCGCUGCCGUGCUCCUAUCAGAAUCAUCUUUAACAACCCACUCCCAAGAAGACUGUUUUUGACACGGUUUUGGUGCAUUUUUCUGAUAAUGGAGGACAUUUAUGAAGCAAAUUCAGAUAAAAAAAAAUGAUGAAUUUCUUUAUUCAAAUGGCUGUAAAUC